rnacentral:rRNA from 1 species
CUCCACGCCGCCAGCUCUGACAACCCGAUCGAUCUGUGGUGCGCGAGCGAUCGAUGAUGGCGGCAGAGACGGCGGAGGAGUGGAGGCUGGCGUGUGAGUCCGAGUGCCGUUUGCGCAAUUGCGAGUGCCGCUGGUGUCGUCUCUGCUCCCCCCGGAUCCCCCGCGUCGCCCACGGGAGGGACUACUCCUCCAUCCCUGCCGGCAUCGACCAUCGGCCCGCCUGGUCGCUGCUCGUCGGCCUCAGGGACGGCGCCGUCCUCCGGCUCAAACGCCUCGGCCUGGCGCGGUCCGGGCGGAUCCUCGGCCGGAGCGACGACGCACUCGAGGCUUUCCAGGAGGCCCUGCCGAGGUGCGGUUGCUGGUGAGACAUCUCUCCCGGUGGUAAAAUCCCGUGACCCAGACCAGUUGGUGCACUAGCGGCGGCACGGUGCUCCGGCGGUGGAAGGGAUUUGAGAUCGGGCGAGGGUUACAAGGCUGGUCCUUGGAGUAAAAUUCCAGAGCUACAUCUCAGAUCCAGAUGGUGAAGUCGAAGGGGGAAGACAAGGCCGAUGCGGCAGAGGUAGCAUCCCUCAAGCUGGACGUCGACCAGCUGGAUGAGAAAGUGGAAGCCAUCCACUCUGAAGUGGAGGGGAUUCACACUGAGGUCACCGGGAUCAAGAAUCAGCUGACAAGACUUGAAGAACUGCUGCUCAAGCUUGAUGCGAAAGGAAAGGAGAAGGAGAAGGAACAGGAGCACAGGGAGCUAGAGCGCCAACAGCAACCACUCCCUCCCCAACCUCCACCUCCACCUCUCCAUCAACAGCAACCAACUCCUCCCCAACCUUAACAGCAACAGCAACCCAACGCGCCACCAACCAGAACAUCUCCCCUCCUGGACAGAGGAGUUCCAAUCUGGCGACGCAUGGGGAAUGAAUUCUCACAACCAACACCCCAGUACGCUGAACUAGACGGUCUGAAUAUGCAGUUCAGUCAGUGGAAAGAGAAUUUCGACGCUGCACCAAACCAAAAUCCACUUCCAUACUAUGGCGAGUAGCACCCCAUGUUUGCAUAUCAACCACCCCAGCCACCUCCACCUCCCCAUUACUACCACCCACUAGAACAAUCCCAUGACCAAUAUCUACACCACACACAAUACUUACCCUAGCAACAGUAUCCUCCCCAAUUUCAGUACCCUACCCCGCAAAUUCCCAUCCCACAAUAUGCCCAGCAAGAACACCCACCACCAUCACAAAGGGGAGUUCCUCACAUACAGGGCCCUCCUGCCUAUCAAACUCCGAGACAAACCAGAGGUUUUGACCAAUAUAGAAGCCAAGACAGAGAUUGCCAGUUCUACAAAUCCAUUGCUAAAGCACCAAAAUUUGAGUUCCCUCGGUUUGAUGGAGACAAUCCUAUGGAAUGGAUAAGGACUACAGAGAAGUUCUUCUCCAUGGUGUAUGUGCCCGAGGAGGCCAAGGGGGACGAUGCCCAAAUGUACCUAAUAGGAAGAGCUGAUGUAUGGCUUAGAAACUCUGGCAUUUUGGAACAAAACCUGACAUGGGAACAAUUCUGCCAGGUAGUACUCAAAAGAUUCUCGGGGGACAGGUCUUAUGAGGUAGUUGAGAAUUUCAACUCCAUCAAACAGGGCACCAACUCUGUUUCUGAUUACACCGACAGAUUUGAAGAGAAAAUGUCUUCUUACAAAAGAGAAAACCCAGGUGUCUCUGAAAGCAACUACAUCAAAUGUUACAUAAAUGGUCUGAAACCUAAGAUCAAACAUUACCUGAAACCAUUCAAGCCACAGACCCUGUAUGAUGCAGUUGACACAGCUCGAGAUAUGGAACUAGGAACUCAAGCUCAGACCACUCAGAAGAAAUUUCCCUCCUACACCAACUACCAGAAAAGCAAUAGUCCUGCACCCACAACAAACAUGCCUAGAUGGAAUGAUGGCAGUGCUCCUAAAAGAGAAGGUGACCCCAAAACCACAGCCAAACCUGAAGUUAGGUACAGGGAACCUGGAAUUUGCAGAUACUGUGGCAGCAAAUGGUUUUUUGGCCACAAGUGUGCCCAAUACAAAACCCUCAAUUUAAUGGCCACGGAAGAAACUCCAGAGGAAAAUCAAGAGGACCUGCUACAGGAAACUGAACAACCUGACGAUCACACAGCUCCUGUUACAAGUCCCACUGAGGAGGAGCAAUGCAUGCAAAUUUCCUCCCAAGCAGUGGGCAAGAAGACCACUGCCAAGUCCUUCUCAUUACAAGUUCAAAUCGGUGGGAAGUGUGGAAUAGCACUAGUUGAUUCUGGAAGCUCACACACAUUCAUUGACAUGAAGUUCACUGUCAAGACCACCUGUCACACUGUCCCAACCCCUAUGGAAACUGUCCUUGUUGCGGGAGGGGGAACACUACAGUCGGGAUCCCAGGUAGUAGAAACACAAUACACCAUCCAAGGACACAAGUUCAAGAACUCCUUUAAAGUGUUACCACUGAAGGGAUAUGACAUUAUUCUGGCAUGCGAUUGGUUGGAAAAACAUAGCCCAAUUACAAUGGACUUUAUCACCAGAAAAAUGCAGGUCGUUUUAGACGGCAAAACCAAAGUCACUCUCAGAGAUAACAACAGGAAGGGCACGGUCCCUCUCAUCUCAGUACAUCUGGAGAAACUUGCUUCCACUUAUGUAGCUGGCUACUGCCUUUUCCCCUUGUCCAAAACCACCGAAAAGCAAGAACAACAUGCACUGAAGUGGAAGAAUUACUGCAGGAGUACAAGGAUGUUUUCCAAGAAACCAAAGGAAUGCCACCUAUCAGAGAGUGUGACCACUCCAUUCCCUUGAAGAAUAACUCUGAGCCCCCUAUGGUUAGACCUUAUCGAGUCCCCCACAAGCAAAAGAAUGAAAUGGAGCAACAAGUGCAAGAGUUGUUAGAUGCUUCCAUCAUUAGGCCUAGCACUAGCCCAUAUGCUGCUCCUACCAUUCUGGUUAGGAAAAAGGAUGGUACUUGGAGGUUGUGCAUCGAUUACAGGAAGUUGAAUGCCCAAACUGUCAAGAACAAGUUCCCCAUCCCAGUUAUCGAGGAUCUCUUUGAUGAGCUGCAAGGAGCACAAUACUUCACAAAGAUUGACCUCAGGGCAGGAUAUCAUGAAGUGAGAAUGAAUACAGCUGAUAUCCACAAGACUGUGAUCAGAACAUACUUCGGCCACUUUGAGUACUUAGUUAUGCCUUUUGGGCUCACUAAUGCACCAGCAACUUUCCAAUCCCUCAUGAACAAAGUAUUUGCCAAGUACCUCAGGAAAUUUAUUCUUGUCUUCUUCGAUGAUAUCUUAGUGUACAGCAAGACGUUGCAACAACACUUGAAACAUCUGAAAAUGGUCCUGGACAUCUUGAGAGCUGAGCAACUCUUUGCCAAAAUGAGCAAAUUCAUAUUUGCUGCCCCCCAGGUGGAGUACUUGGGCCACAUAAUCUCGGGAAAAGGUGUAGAGACUGACCCACAAAAAAUUGAGGAAGUUUCCAAUUGGCCUUUACCUCAAAACAUCACUCAGCUGAGAAGUUUCCUAGGACUCACAGGAUACUAUAGGAGAUUUGUGCAAAACUAUGGAGAAAUAUGUAGACCCCUACAUGCCAUGCUUAAGAAAGAGGCUUUCCACUGGACGCCAAAACAAACCGCAGCUUUCAACCAACUCAAGCACAAGCUAACAUCAGCACCUGUCCUGGCACUACCCAACUUCUCACUCCCCUUCCAGCUGGAAACUGAUGCCAGUGGUACUGUACUUGGGGCUGUUCUGAUGCAGCAAAACAGGCCUAUUGCGUACUUCAGCAAGUCUUUAGGACCCAAAUCUGCUGCCCUCUCCACGUAUGAAAAGGAAGCACUCGCAAUCCUUGAGGCAUUAAAGAAAUGGAGGCACUAUGUUGUUGGCAACGAGCUGCACAUCAAAACUGAUCAAAAGAGCCUGAAAUUCAUAACUGAGCAGAAGGUUUCAGAAGGAAUACAACAUAAAUUACUCCUCAAACUCCUAGAAUUCAACUACAAGAUUGACUAUAAGAAGGGCAACACUAACAAGGCUGCGGAUGCUCUCAGCAGAAAAGGAAGCACACUCAUGGCCACAACCAUCAUAACACCUACCUGGAUUGAAUCAGUUGAAAAGAGCUACGAGCAGGACCCCAAGUGCCAGGAACUCCUGCAGAAACUCCUAAUUGCAGCAGAUGCGGAGAAACACUACACACUGACAGCUGGCGUAUUAAGAUACAAGGGCAGGAUUCUUAUAGGCAAUGAUGAAGAUCUCAAGCACCAGCUCAUCGACUCCCUCCACUCCUCUGCUGUAGGAGGGCACUCUGGAAUUGUUGCCAACUACCAAAGAAUCAAAAGGUUGUUCUAUUGGCCCGGCAUGAAAAAGGAUGUGGAAAAGUUCAUCACUGAAUGCCCGGUUUGCCAAAGAGCUAAAGCAGAGCAUUGUCAAUACCCAGGCCUAUUAGACCCCCUUCCUCUCCGAGACAUGGCGUGGGCACACUUGACCAUGGACUUCAUCGAGGGUCUACCAAAAUCCAGUGGAAAAGAAGUCAUACUCGUAGUGGUGGACAGAUAUACUAAGUACACCCAUUUCAUCUCCCUCCCUCACCCUUACAAUGUGAACAUGGUGGCCCAAGCUUUCAUGGACAAUGUUUUCAAGUUACAUGGCCCGCCAAUCAGCAUUGUGACGGACCGGGACAGAAUCUUCACAAGUAACAUGUGGGAGGGGAUAUUCAAAGCAAUGAAAAUCAAGCUCAGACUCAGCACUGCUUACCAGACUCAGAGUGACGGCCAGACCAAGCGAGUCAACCAAUGUUUGGAAUCGUAUCUCAGAUGCAUGGUUUUCCAAGAGCCCAAGAAAUGGCACUCCUGGCUUCCCCUAGCAGAGUGGUGGUACAAUACCACAUACCACACCGCUACUAAGUUCACUCCAUUUCAGGCUUUGUACAGCUACCCACCUCCCCUGAUCAGUGAAAUAGCCAUUCCUGGUCCUGUGGACACUGAUGCCAGGGACUUCUAGGCUGAAAAACAGCACAUGUUAUCCACUCUGAAGGAAAACUUGGCACAGGCCCAAGGGCGCAUGAAAAAAUAUGCUGACAGGAAGAGACUCGAGAGGCAAUUUGAAGUUGGGGAUAUGGUUUACUUGCGAAUGCAACCCUACAGAAUGGCUGCCUUCAGAAUUCGCCAAGCCAUGAAGCUCACAACAAAGUUCUACGGCCCUUAUCGUAUAUUGGAAAAGAUUGGCCGUGUAGCUUACAAACUCCAACUUCCAACGAAUGUGGGCAUCCAUCCUGUAUUCCACGUGAGCCAGUUGAAAAAGCACCUUGGCUCUCAUGCAAUACCCAGUCCAGAUCUCCCUCUUGUGGGCACAGAUGGCAGGAUCAAAACCGAACCCUUGGCUGUCCUGGAAACCCGAUCGUUGCCCAGGAAUGGGGUUCUGGUCACACAAUGGUCGUCGAGUGGGAGAACCUCAAGCCAGAAGAUGCAACCAACUUGGGAGGAUGCCAACUUCAUGAAGCAAGUUUUCCCAGCCUUCUUCGCAAACACCAUCAAGAGUUGGUUCCCAGAUCGGAAUACUUGAGGACAAGUAUGUUUUUCAGGGGGAAGAAUUGUCAGCACUCUGUUUCCUGCAGCAAUUUCAGAACAUAUCGCUUUGACCAUGUCAUGAAGAUCCAAGGGUGGAGAUCAUCCCUAGAAGAUGGACGGCUAUCAAGGGCUCGAAGCAUUUCACUGGCUGACCAGGCUAUAUAUUUGAGCCCCUGCGUGGGUAACGAUGGGAUUUGUAAACCUAAUUCCAAACCCUAGAUAUCUACCUACCGUAGCAAAUCCCCAAAUUCAUAGACGGGGUCUCCACAUCGGGAGUUUAUCUAUUGCUUGUUUCUGUCGAAUUGGUAGCUAGUUCUGUCGAUCCCCUCCGGGAUCUGACACUGCUCCCCCCGGAUCCCCCGCAUCGCCCCCAGGAGGGACUACUCCUCCAUCCCCGCCAGCGCCGACCAUCGGCCCGCCUGGUCGCUGCUCGUCGGCCUCAGGGACGGCGUCGUCCUACGGCUCAAACGCCUCCGCCUGGCAUGGUCCGGGCGGAUCCUCGGCCGGAGCGAUGACGCACUCGAGGCAUUCCACGACAUCAGGACGCCGACUGGUCGCAGGUUCGACGCCAGCGCCGCCCUGGCUCCCGACGGCCGCUCGCUCUGCGUCCUGCGCCAGGAGGACGACGGUGCCGGCAAGCAACCCCCCAUGCCCUGCACCUAACUCUGCAGCAGCCGCAGACCGACGACACAUCACCCGAGCAUCUUCCUCUGCCGCCGGAGAUUCAAGCAGGGGGGAGUCGUAACUGCAUGCCCAUCUCCGCCGCCGGCAACAUCUGGGCUCUGUGGCCCAUCAUGGAAUAUGGCGUCAAGUCGAGCCUCCUCAUACGACCCCUGCAUCUGCUCCCCGGCGGCGGGGGCCAAUGGGAGCAGGUCGGCCAACACAAACACGACAAGGACGAGUACCGGUGGUUGGCCGGCGGGUUCCUCCAGGGCUACGCUAUGCUCCCCGGCCCCCUCAUCCUCGUCUCCUUGAAACAAGACCGGGCCUUCUUCACCUUCACCCAUGGCUCCGGCGACUGGACCCCGGUGCUCACCGACGAAACAAGGCCGCCGCAAGACUACGUCCCUAUCAUCGGCCGCGCCGUCUACAUGGAGCAAGACAAUGCCAUCUACAUGCUCCGUGGAAACACCAUCUAUGCCUACAAGCUCAGCUACAUACACCAGGACCAGAGUGAUGAUCAGGGGAGGGGGAGGCUCCGGCUGGAUCCGCCCAUCACCAUCGACUCUGGAGUACGAGGACAUGGACUCUCCGGUGCUGCUGCAACACCAACAAGGGCAAGAGAAGGAUCUAAACCAACGUUAACAGCAGGUCGACCAACCCUCCAAGAUGCUUGAUUGUUGCAGACGGUUUCUCAAAAUGGAAGGCUGCCCACGCCUUUGUUUCUCUGCGGCAUGAAUGGUCACGUUGCCCGCGACUGCUCUCACCCGCCACAGGAGCGGAUGCCCCCCUCGGCAUUGCCUCCCUGCACGCUGGUCGGCCGUGCUUCAAUGCAACACCGAGUCCCUUUCUCAAGGCGUCCUCUUGCUACAACAACUAGUAUCAAGAAAGAUCUGUUUAUCAUCUGCCAAGCCGGCUCACAACCGGUCAUCUACCAUACGGGCGUCAUGGAUGAGACUUCACUGUUAGAAGGAGGAGACGACGAUGGCAAGCCUCUCCAACCGUCAUGUUAUGUUGCAGAAGAUGUUGGUGAUGAUGACUAUUGGCACUUUUUCCUAAAUGGUGGCUCAAAAAUACACGCCGUUUCGAGCAAAAAAGAUGGCAUGCUUGAGUUUAGUCUGAACAAGGACCGUACGACAGCUAUGGAUCGUCUAUCUGUACGGCGGCGGCCAAGUGCUGAUGCUUUUGUUUUGGUUCUCACAGUUGGUGGAGAGACCACUGCUCUUACUAAAACCCUGCAAGUUUUUCAUCAGAAAAGGUUCAAUUAUGGAUCAUCCCCCACGUGGUUGGGUUACAAGGCAGAUCAGUCACAUGUUCUCGACAGGAAGGUCAUGAUAUCUGGAUAUGCAGCAGUGAAUGACGAUUCCUUUAUAGUCUCUGAUGCUCUCACAUGUUCCUGUCUUUUGUUUGACCUGGGUGCCAGACAAUGGCGUGUUGUCAUGCCUUGGGCCGCAUUCACGGAAGACCUGCCAAGGAAUAUCCCUAGAAACAGCCCUUUAAUUGGUAGAUGUGUAUUUGUCGAUGGCUUUAUCUACACAUGCAGAGAUGGAGGGCUUGCUGCUUGAUAAAGAUCAUUCUGUGUAUCUCAGCGAGCCCAUCCUUUUGCCAUUCUCAUGGCUUGUAGAUGAUUGUGUCGGUGAGGACAUGUGCUUGGAUUAUGCUGGCAAAGAUAUGGAAUUCUCAACCAAAGUAUGUUCAAGUAAAGCAAGUUAAUCAGUGGUGUUCUUCAUUCUGGGCAAAUGAUUAUGUUUAAUAAGUCAUGUUCUUAUUUCAGGUCAAAUAAAUUUAGUGAUGCUGGCUUUUAAGCCAUUAGCUAGCAACAUUGCAUCGCUAAAUCAACAUUUCAG